rnacentral:rRNA from 1 species
UGUGUAGGCGGUUAUGUUAGUCUUUCGUGAAAGGCUUUGGGCUUAACCCAGAGACCGCGGGAGAAACGGCAUAACUACGAGGAUGUGAGAGGUAAAGGGAACUCAUGGUGUAGGGGUGAAAUCCGUUGAUAUCAUGGGGAACACCAAAUGCGAAGGCACUUUACUGGCACACUCCUGACGCUGAAACACGAAAACGUGGGAAUCGAACG